rnacentral:rRNA from 1 species
GAUGAACGCUAGCGACAGGCUUAACACAUGCAAGUCGCGGGGCAGCAUGGGGGUUGCUUGCAACCCCUGAUGGCGACCGGCGCACGGGUGAGUAACGCGUAACCAACCUGCCCUUCACCACGGGAUAACCCGGCGAAAGUCGGACUAAUACCGUAUGUUUGCCAUUGACGGCAUCCGAGUGGGACGAGAGGCUUGGGGGAGUAAGGAAGGGGAUGCGUCCGAUUAGCUUGACGGCGGGGUACCGGGCCACCGUGGCUACGGUCGGUAGGGGUUCUGAGGGGAAGGUCCCCCACACUGGAACCGAGACCCGGGCCAGACUCCUACGGGAGGCAGCAGUGAGGAAUAUUGGUCAAUGGGCGUAAGCCUGAACCAGCCAAGUAGCGUGCAGGAUGACGGCCCUAUGGGUUGUAAACUGCUUUUAUGCGGGGAUAAAGUGGCCCACGUGUGGGCUUUUGCAGGUACCGCAUGAAUAAGGACCGGCUAAUUCCGUG